AUGGCAAGAAAUGAUUUCGGAUUUGGUUCUUUGAUCAUAGAUAUCAAGCUUGAUGGUUCAAACUACAGGGAAUGGGCAUUUUCUGCCCGGACUGUCUUGAGGACGGCUGGUUUUGUUUCUCAUACAGAUGAUCCACCUAGUCCAAAUGAUGAUGCAGCAAGGAAGUCUUGGCAAAAGAUCGAUGAUCGUGUGAUGGGAGUUUUAAUUCUGGGUGUUGAACCCUCACUCUGA
rnacentral:rRNA from 1 species